UGAUAAAGGACCAUUUCGCUAAAUUUGUGCUGACCGAUCUAGCACGUCAAAGAAUUCAGUUUCACGAGUUAAAUAAUAAUACGGUACAAUUAAGGCAUUCCGAGCGCGCAGGUGUGUGAAUAUCUAAACGGGGUCCCUAAUAAUAUUUUUGAGCCUAUAAAGCUGUAAUUCCGUGAAACGAUUUUAGAUUUUUAUUAAACCAAUUAAAAAUUUCUUUUCAAAAACUAAAUCCCUCACGACGUAAUAACGUAUUUCUGAUACGAGAUCGAACUGGUUUUCACAUUUUUAAAUAUUUUUUUUAACACGCUGCUACUUACUCAAAUUGUAUAUUUAAAAAAAUUAUUAAUUUCUCAAGACUACCCUAGCAGACCCUACCAUUGACCAAACCACCUUCGAAAUCACUACGGUGGUUUUAUGCAAAAAGUAUACCGAGCAUUUUAUCCGAACCACCGUGUUCCCUCCAGCUCAAAAUCAGCCGCAGAGCUUUCAAAUGGUGGUUUCGAUGUUGGAAACGACUGAUCAACAGUGGUUAGCGUAGUGCUUCGAACAAAAUGUUUGGUAUACUUGUAGCACAAAACCACCGUGGAACAGUGGUGAAUUUCGCAGUCACCGGGUCUGCUAGGGUAUCGUCUUCCGCUCGGAAUAUCUUAAAGUUCUCCAAGAGUCAUAUAUAUAUAUGCAAAUGUAAAAAUAACCAAAAACAUCAAACCACACGGAUCGCUGCAAUUUAGGAAAACCGUCACCACCCGAUACAAGAGGGUAUAACAAUCACAAGGAACGUAACAAGAUUUACGUGAUCAUUUCAUCGUAAUUCCACGUCGCACGUUAUUAAUUACAAUAGAGACGUAAACAUAACCUAACAAUGGGCUGGGUGGUGACGUUCGUUAAUACACAAAGUAUUGUAUCAUUCAAAUAUAAACGUUAAAGUGAAAGAGCACGUUAAAAGAGGAAAUAAAUUACAAGGAGCCAAGGUGCGGCCCCCGUCUACUAUCAAA